rnacentral:rRNA from 1 species
AGAACGAACGCUGGCGGCAGGCCUAACACAUGCAAGUCGAACGCUGUAGCAAUACAGAGUGGCAGACGGGUGAGUAACGCGUGGGAACCUUCCCAGUGGUGCGGAAUAGCUCAGGGAAACUUGAGGUAAUACCGCAUAAGCCCUUAGGGGGAAAGAUUUAUCGCCAUUGGAUGGGCCCGCGUCGGAUUAGCUAGUUGGUGAGGUAAUGGCUCACCAAGGCAACGAUCCGUAGCUGGUUUGAGAGAAUGACCAGCCACACUGGGACUGAGACACGGCCCAGACUCCUACGGGAGGCAGCAGUGGGGAAUCUUGGACAAUGGGCGCAAGCCUGAUCCAGCCAUGCCGCGUGAGUGACGAAGGCCUUAGGGUUGUAAAGCUCUUUUGCCGGGACGAUAAUGACGGUACCCGGAGAAUAAGUCCCGGCUAACUUCGUGCCAGCAGCCGC